rnacentral:tRNA from 1 species
AGAAAGUUAGUCCAACUAAGACA